rnacentral:misc_RNA from 1 species
GCAAACUUGGUCAUUUAGAGGAAGUAAAAGUCGUAACAAGGUCUCCGUAGGUGAACCUGCGGAGGGAUCAUUACUGAGUGAGGGCGCAAGCCCGACCUCCAACCCUUUGUGAACCAACUCUGUUGCUUCGGGGGCGACCCCGCCGUUUCGGCGACGGCGCCCCCGGAGGUCAUCAAACACUGCAUCUUUGCGUCGGAGUCUUGAAUAAAUUUGAACAAAACUUUCAACAACGGAUCUCUUGGUUCUGGCAUCGAUGAAGAACGCAGC